AUUUAUUUGCCGCAUCCCUAAAACCUCUCAAAACUCUCACCGGAGAUCAGACCUCAUCUCCAGAUUCCUCCGUCUCCUCUUCUCGUAUCUGUAAGUGAUACGUCGUCGUUUCCAGUUUUCGUUUUCAACUUCUUUCUCCGUCCGAUUUCAAUUGAUCGAUGCACAGCUGAUUCCUCUGUAGACAGACAACAAAGAGGGCUUUCAAGAAAAUGGCGUCAAGAGCGAUCUUACGGAGAAAGAGUAUCGUUUCUGAUUACUUGAACGUCUACGCUCGUUCAGCUCAAAGCUUUCAAUCUUCUGGAAACUCUGCUCAGAAAGUCAACAACCCUCCUCUGGUAGCCAAAGACAAGUCCUUUACUGGAGGAUAUGGUUUACUUUUGCUUUCUAGGUUCCAUGGCUCUUCUCACGUCUCGGGAAUUGGUUUUGGAAGUUUAGAGAUGGGUUCUUCUCUGGGGAUGAGAUACAUGAGCGUGUCUAUCCAUAACGCUACUAAGAAACCCGAAGAAGAGGAGAAGAGGAAAGAGGCGUCUCCUGAGGAAUGUGACCAAGCUGUUGAGAGUCUGAGCAGUGUUAAAGCCAAAGCGAAGGCUAAGCGUCUUCAAGAUUCUAAAAAGGUUGCUCGGUCGAUUCUUCAGAGGACUUGGGUUUUUAUUCUUGGCAUUGGUCCUGCUUUGAGAGCUGUUGCCUCCAUGAGCAGGGCGGAUUGGGGGAAGAAGCUCACUCACUGGAAACAAGAGUUUGUGUCAACGUUGAAACAUUAUUGGCUGGGGACGAAACUACUCUGGGCUGAUACUAGGAUCAGUUCAAGGUUGCUGCUCAAGUUGGCUGGUGGGAAGAGUCUCUCUAGGAGAGAGAGACAGCAGCUAACUCGAACGACAGCUGAUAUCUUUAGAUUAGUGCCGUUUGCUGUGUUCAUUCUCGUGCCGUUUAUGGAGUUUCUGCUGCCGGUUUUCUUGAAGCUCUUCCCUAAUAUGUUGCCGUCGACUUUCCAGGACAAGAUGAAGGAAGAGGAAGCAUUGAAAAGGAAGUUACUUGCUAGGAUAGAAUACGCUAAGUUUCUUCAGGAAACUGCCAAGGAGAUGGCUAAGGAAGUUAAGCAUUCGAGAACUGGUGAAGCCAGGCAAACCGCUGAGGACCUGGUUGAGUUUCUAGAUAAGGUUCGAAAAGGUCGACUAGUCCAAAAUGAUGAAAUUUUGGGCUUUGCAAAGCUUUUCAACGAUGAGCUUACUUUGGAUAACAUUAGCAGGCCUCGCUUGGUUAGCAUGUGUAGAAUUAUGGGUAUUAGCCCAUAUGGAACAGAUGCAUAUCUGCGAUAUAUGCUAAGAAAAAGACUUAGGAGCAUCAAGGAAGAUGAUAAACUGAUCAGAGCUGAGGGCGUGGAUUCCCUCUCAGAAGCUGAGCUACGCGAAGAUUGCAGGGAGCGGGGAAUGCUGGGGACGCUUACAGUUGAAGAGAUGAGGCAACAGCUUCGCGACUGGAUGGACUUGUCACUUAAUCACUCUGUCCCCUCGUCGUUACUGAUCUUAUCUAGGGCAUUCACGGUUGCAGGAAGAGUUGAGGCAGAUGCUGUCAGGGCAACUCUUUCUUCUCUUCCUGACGAGGUUGUGGAUACUGUUGGUGUUACUUCUCUGCCAUCUGAAGACCCUCUAUCUGAGCGGCUAAGGAAACUAGAGUACCUUGAGAUGCAAGACGAACUGAUCAAGAAAGAAGAAGAGAAAGAAGAGGAAGAGCUUACAAGGAUUAAGGAUGUUAAAGGUGGUGAAGAGGAUAAGGCGCUGCAAGAGAUGACUAUACCAACGGCCAGAGAAGCCCAAGAACAGGCCAGAGCUAGAGUUCUUGAACAGCAAGAUGAUCUUUGCAAACUUAGCCGUGCACUGGGCGUUUUGGCUUCCGCUUCUUCAGUAUGUAGAGAGCGCGAAGAGUUCUUGAGGCUGGUCAAGAAAGAGGUGGAGUUCUAUAACACAAUGGUCGAGAGAGAAGAUGUUGAUGGGGAAAAAGCUGCAAUGAAGGCAUACAAAGCAGCUAGAGAAGAUAGUGACCAAAGUGAUGAAGUUGCUGAAGCAGAUGAGGUUUCUUCUGCGCUAAUGGAAAAGGUAUACAUUAUAAGGUUGAUGGUCUGAUACAAAACCUCGAGAAGGAGAUUGAUGAUGUGGAUAUCAAAAUUGGCAAAGGCUGGCUGCUUCUUGACAGGGAUCGAGAUGGAAAGGUCACACCUGAUGAAGUUGCAGCAGCUGCGAUGUACCUGAAGGAUACACUUGCUAAUGAAGGUCUUCAACAACUAAUCAGUAAUCUCUCCAAAGAUAAAGAGGGAAGAAUUAUGGUGGAGGACAUUGUAAGGUUGGGGAGGUUAGGAAGUAAGCCAGAAGAAAAUGCAACAGAGGAAGAAGAAUCAAAUUAAACGGAAAGAGUACUCUGAUUCUUUUGAAAACUAGAGGAGAAACUACUACACUCUUUAAUACUGAGAGAAACUAUACUCUACAUAAUAGAAGGCGGCUGAGAAGCUAUUUGAAGAGCUAACACUUUAGUAUAUGUGCUUGUCGUAACAACAAGACGAGCCUGAUUAAUCCACUUAUCUUGCUUAUUUUGUACAAGUCGCAAGUAAUUAAAUUAGUUUGCGUUAAGUGACGUCUGCUAUUACCAUGUUUAUAACAAAAAUUCAUUCAAGAAAAACAAA